ensembl:lncRNA
GAGGCACUUAAGGACAAUUAUAAACAUUUUGCCCUGUGGUGACUCUCCCCUAUCAAACCUACUCCUAGCCUGAUAAGCACUGCCUCUUUAGGGAUCAUUAAUUUCCUUGAAAAUUUAAACAGCUGUCACUUGUGAUCCUCCUCAGGUGCUCAUGUGGGAGAGAUUAGACUAUGUUUAUAAGCCAGUCUGUUCAUUAAGCGCCUGCCCAUGUGGAACCCCCUCCACAGGCCUGCAGAUCACCCACAGAUAAUUGGGGGCCAUGGCAAAUUACACAGAGGCGCUGCAGGCAGCAAGAAUGGUGUGGCCUUAUUAAUAUCAGUGUGUGAGAUCUUAGUUCCCCGAUCAGAGAUUGAAUCCAUGCCCCCUGGAUUGGAAGCACAGAAUCUCAACCACUGGACCACCAGGGAAGUCCUGACACCCUAUAUCUUGAAAGAACUGGAUAGAAUCUGUGCCCAGUAUCAAAAGUUAUUAAAGUUGAAAUGCUCAGACUAGAAGAGUAACUGUUACUGGCUUUUCUUCCAUGAGAAAUCAGGCUUAUGAACGAUAAUUUAAAGCCAAAACAAAAGGAAGACUGGCAAAGAAACACAUACCCACUUAGGGACACAUGGAUUGAAUCUGUUCCUGCAUUGGUAGCCAAUUAGAAAGAAACAUUAAAAGGAUAAAUCAAGAAAUUUUGAAAGUGGUUACCUGCAAGGGAAGAAUGGGGUGGAAAGGAUAUGAGCAUACCUUGAUGUUCAAUC